rnacentral:sRNA from 1 species
UAAUGUCAGUUUCUUUGCCUAAAAUGAAAACAACCAUGCAGUUUUUUGGGGCGCAGGAAA